UGGGGAAUAUUGCACAAUGGGCGCAAGCCUGAUGCAGCCAUGCCGCGUGUAUGAAGAAGGCCUUCGGGUUGUAAAGUACUUUCAGCGGGGAGGAAGGGAGUAAAGUUAAUACCUUUGCUCAUUGACGUUACCCGCAGAAGAAGCACCGGCUAACUCCGUGCCAGCAGCCGCGGUAAUACGGAGGGUGCAAGCGUUAAUCGGAAUUACUGGGCGUAAAGCGCACGCAGGCGGUUUGUUAAGUCAGAUGUGAAAUCCUCGGGCUCAACCUGGGAACUGCAUCUGAUACUGGCGAGCUUGAGUGUCGUAGAGGGGGGUAGAAUUCCAGGUGUGGCGGUGAAAUGCGUAGAGAUCUGGGGGAAUACCGGUGGCGAAGGCGGCCCCCUGGACGAAGACUGACGCUCAGGUGCGAAAGCGUGGGGGGCAAACAGG
rnacentral:rRNA from 1 species